CAGUAGCCGCGGUAAUACAGAGGAUGCAAGCGUUAAUCGGAAUUACUGGGCGUAAAGCGCGCGUAGGUGGUUUGUUAAGUUGGAUGUGAAAGCCCCGGGCUCAACCUGGGAACUGCAUCCAAAACUGGCAAGCUAGAGUACGGUAGAGGGUGGUGGAAUUUCCUGUGUAGCGGUGAAAUGCGUAGAUAUAGGAAGGAACACCAGUGGCGAAGGCGACCACCUGGACUGAUACUGACACUGAGGUGCGAAAGCGUGGGGAGCAAACAGGAUUAGAUACCCCUGUAGUCCCUGUCUCUUAUAC
rnacentral:rRNA from 1 species